CCGUCGCUGAACCCGUGCCCUAACUCAUCUCCUUCACCCGCACGUCUCCCCUCCCGAUUCUUCUUCCCCUCCUCUUCAUCUCUGCCGAACCCGAGCCCUAGAUCUUCCCCUUCCUCUCGGAUCGACACUGAUCCGCCGCCUGCUUUCCCCGAUCCUUUGCUGUCACCACCGAUCGUCUUCCUCUCGAUCUCACGGUGCCACAUUUUCCCUCUGCCCUACCGUCGACAACCGAUCAUUCUUCCUUGAUUCUUCUUGCUGUCGGUGUGGCCCUAGCCGUGCCCUGGUUUCCUGGUGUCGCUCCUCUUCAGCGUCGCCGACCAUGAAGCUCCGACGCCGACAGCUGCGAGUUUGAUCGUGAAUGCCGAGUUUCCACCUCACCCGUGCCCUAGAUCGCCGGUGUGAGGAGGUGUUCGGGGAUUCGAGGAAGCCACAGGUACCGAUAGCUACAUCUUUUUUCGGUAGCAAACUCAUCGAGCUGUGGAUCAAUUAGGGUUGUGAGAUUGAGGACUUUGAUUCGAGACGACAUCUUGAUGUGGGGUCUAUUUCGGAUAUGAUCUUUUAUUUUUAAG